UACGUAGGGUGCAAGCGUUGUCCGGAAUUAUUGGGCGUAAAGAGCUCGUAGGCGGUUUGUUGCGUCUGCUGUGAAAACCCGAGGCUCAACCUCGGGUCUGCAGUCGAUACGAGCAGACUAGAGUGUUGCAGGGGAGACUGGAAUUCCUGGUGUAGCGGUGAAAUGCGCAGAUAUCAGGAGGAACACCGGUGGCGAAGGCGGGUCUCUGGGCAACAACUGACGCUGAGGAGCGAAAGCGUGGGGAGCGAACAGG
rnacentral:rRNA from 1 species